GCCAGGUGUGGUAGCCCACACCUGUAAUCCCAGCUACCUGGGAGGCUGAGGCAGGAGAAUUGCUUGAGCCCAGGAGGCAGAGGUUGCAGUGAGCUGAGAUUGCACCACUGCACUCCAGCCUGGGUGAUAAAGCAAGACUCUGUCUCAA
rnacentral:SRP_RNA from 1 species